AACGGCCAUACCAUGCUGAAUAUACCGGUUCUCGUUAGAUCACCGAAGUCAAGCAUCAUUGGGCGCGGUCAGUACCUGGGUGGGUGACCACCUGGGAACUCCGCGUGCCGUU
rnacentral:rRNA from 1 species